rnacentral:rRNA from 1 species
AUCGAACGCUGGCGGCAUGCCUAACACAUGCAAGUCGAACGAGUGGAGGACGGGUGAGUAAUGUCUGGGAAACUGCCUGAUGGAGGGGGAUAACUACUGGAAACGGUAGCUAAUACCGCAUACCAUCGGAUGUGCCCAGAUGGGAUUAGCUAGUAGGUGGGGUAAAGGCUCACCUUGGCGACGAUCCCUAGCUGGUCUGAGAGGAUGACGGGCCAAAUGGGAACUGAGACACGGUCAAGAUUCCUACGGGCGGCGGCAGUGGGAAUUAUUGGACAAUGGGCGAAAGCUGGAUGCAGCCAUGCCGCGUGUAGGAAGAAGGCCUUCGGGUUGUAAAGUACUUUCUGCGGGGAGGCGUUACCCGCAGAAGAAGCACCGGCUAACUCCGUGCCAGCAGCCGCGGUAAUAC